CGCUUUCAGCAUUGCAUUAUAAAGAAUGUUCAAGCAAUCAUUUUUACUUCUUAUAACAUUGUUCAUAACAAUCGAAGCCAAUUACGUUAACAAGAACAUAAACAAGCCAGGACGAGUAAGAUUUUAUCCUAAAAACUCAGUAUUCCGUAAAUCAGAUCUCAUUGAUAGAGGAUGCGUUGUAUUUAUUAAAGACUGUCCAGCAGCUUACAAACGUAACUUUGUCUGCGGGCGACAUUACGACGGGCACUACAAGACUUUCAACAAUUACUGCGAACUAGAAUAUGAGAAUUGCAAUAGCUGGAGGCAUUAAUUUCAAUUAGUACCGGCACGAUUUCUCUUCGGUGAAGAAGUUGUGAGUUCUGUUGAAAAUUCGAAAACGAAUAAUUCUACAGUCAAGACAAUAUUUACCUGAUAAUAGAUACCUACGAUUCUUGACUUCAUGCUAGGCAUAUGAUACAGAGUGGAGUAUGAUAAAACGCGAAAGGUGUUGAUUGCUUUUUGAAAUGCGUAGGUGUUUGACGUCAACCCUGUUACAUAUUUCUCGUACAACUGUAACACUUAACAUGUUGAACUCAUAAUUGAAUUUUUAACAAAAUAUUCAAAAAGAUAUAAUUUCGUGUGUAAUAUAGUGUUGAACAAUUA